rnacentral:rRNA from 1 species
GAUGAACGCUGGUGGCGUGCCUAACACAUGCAAGUCGAGCGAUUCUCUUCGGAGAAGAGCGGCGGACGGGUGGGUAACGCGUGGGUAACCUGCCCUGUACACACGGAUAACAUACCGAAAGGUAUGCUAAUACGAGAUAACAUGCUUUUAUCGCAUGGUAGAAGUAUCAAAGCUUUUGCGGUACAGGAUGGACCCGCGUCUGAUUAGCUAGUUGGUGAGGUAACGGCUCACCAAGGCGACGAUCAGUAGCCGACCUGAGAGGGUGAUCGGCCACAUUGGAACUGAGACACGGUCCAAACUCCUACGGGAGGCAGCAGUGGGGAAUAUUGCACAAUGGGCGAAAGCCUGAUGCAGCAACGCCGCGUGAGCGAUGAAGGCCUUCGGGUCGUAAAGCUCUGUCCUCAAGGAAGAUAAUGACGGUACUUGAGGAGGAAGCCCCGGCUAACUACGUG